rnacentral:lncRNA from 7 species
CAAGAUAUAGCACAGUGCAUAAACUGCAGCCAAUUUAGCAAAUGGGAACUGUAAAUAGCAUUACUCACCAAGCACAUCCUACAAAAUCAGUUCAAGCCAUACAGUAAGACACUAAUUUAUCAUGCUCAACUGUUACCUGAUUUUCGUUUUCAUAUGACUACAUGAAUGGUUAGAUAUUCUUCAAUAUCUUUAUAGUUGAGGUGGAUGUUCUCCAACAUUCAGGCAAAAGAGAUCUAAAAGGAACUAUGUUGGAAUUGUCGAUUUGAAUAGGAUAUAGUUAAGAUUAGCAAUUUAAUUAGAGGG